rnacentral:misc_RNA from 1 species
UCUCCGUUGGUGAACCAGCGGAGGGAUCAUUACAGAGUUGUAAAACUCCCCAACCCUUGUGAACGUUACCUAUCCCGUUGCUUCGGCGGGCGGCCCGGGCCACGCGCGCGGCGCCCCCCGGCACCCGUGGGCGUCCGCCGGAGGUAAACCAAACCCUUGAAUUGCAUGUCCACUCUGAGUCUUCUGUACUGAAUAAGUCAAAACUUUCAACAACGGAUCUCUUGGUUCUG